UACCAGCACCCCGAGUGGUCGGGACGAUUAUUGGGCCUAAAGCAUCCGUAGCCGGUUCUACAAGUCUUCCGUUAAAUACACCCGCUCAACAGAUGGGCUGCGGAGGAUACUAUAGAGCUAGGAGGCGGGAGAGGCAAGCGGUACUUAGUGGGUAGGGGUAAAAUCCGUUGAUCCAUUGAAGACCACCAGUGGCGAAGGCGGCUUGCCAGAACGCACUCGACGGUGAGGGAUGAAAGCUGGGGGAGCAAACCGG
rnacentral:rRNA from 1 species